AAGUGGAGCAAUCCAUGAGUAGAGUGGCAAACGGGUGAGUAACGCGUGGGCGACCUACCUCAGAGUGGGGGAUAACCUUCCGAAAGGAGGGCUAAUACCGCAUGACAUACCGUGUUUGGAUACACGGAUAUCAAAGCCGGGGAUCGCAAGACCUGGCGCUUGGAGAGGGGCCCGCGUCCGAUUAGCUAGUUGGUGGGGUAACGGCCUACCAAGGCUCCGAUCGGUAUCCGGCCUGAGAGGGCGGACGGACACACUGGGACUGAGACACGGCCCAGACUCCUACGGGAGGCAGCAGUGGGGAAUUGUUCGCAAUGGGCGCAAGCCUGACGACGCAACGCCGCGUGGAGGAUGAAGGAUUUCGGU
rnacentral:rRNA from 1 species